rnacentral:rRNA from 1 species
CAUAGGUUAAUGAGGCGAACCGGGGGAACUGAAACAUCUAAGUACCCCGAGGAAAAGAAAUCAACCGAGAUUCCCCCAGUAGCGGCGAGCGAACGGGGAGCAGCCCAGAGCCUGAAUCAGUGUGUGUGUUAGUGGAAGCGUCUGGAAAGGCGCGCGAUACAGGGUGACAGCCCCGUACACAAAAAUGCACAUGCUGUGAGCUCGAUGAGUAGGGCGGGACACGUGGUAUCCUGUCUGAAUAUGGGGGGACCAUCCUCCAAGGCUAAAUACUCCUGACUGACCGAUAGUGAACCAGUACCGUGAGGGAAAGGCGAAAAGAACCCCGGCGAGGGGAGUGAAAAAGAACCUGAAACCGUGUACGUACAAGCAGUGGGAGCACGCUUCGGCGUGUGACUGCGUACCUUUUGUAUAAUGGGUCAGCGACUUAUAUUCUGUAGCAAGGUUAACCGAAUAGGGGAGCCGAAGGGAAACCGAGUCUUAACUGGGCGUUAAGUUGCAGGGUAUAGACCCGAAACCCGGUGAUCUAGCCAUGGGCAGGUUGAAGGUUGGGUAACACUAACUGGAGGACCGAACCGACUAAUGUUGAAAAAUUAGCGGAUGACUUGUGGCUGGGGGUGAAAGGCCAAUCAAACCGGGAGAUAGCUGGUUCUCCCCGAAAGCUAUUUAGGUAGCGCCUCGUGAAUUCAUCUCCGGGGGUAGAGCACUGUUUCGGCAAGGGGGUCAUCCCGACUUACCAACCCGAUGCAAACUGCGAAUACCGGAGAAUGUUAUCACGGGAGACACACGGCGGGUGCUAACGUCCGUCGUGAAGAGGGAAACAACCCAGACCGCCAGCUAAGGUCCCAAAGUCAUGGUUAAGUGGGAAACGAUGUGGGAAGGCCCAGACAGCCAGGAUGUUGGCUUAGAAGCAGCCAUCAUUUAAAGAAAGCGUAAUAGCUCACUGGUCGAGUCGGCCUGCGCGGAAGAUGUAACGGGGCUAAACCAUGCACCGAAGCUGCGGCAGCGACGCUUAUGCGUUGUUGGGUAGGGGAGCGUUCUGUAAGCCUGUGAAGGUGUGCUGUGAGGCAUGCUGGAGGUAUCAGAAGUGCGAAUGCUGACAUAAGUAACGAUAAAGCGGGUGAAAAGCCCGCUCGCCGGAAGACCAAGGGUUCCUGUCCAACGUUAAUCGGGGCAGGGUGAGUCGACCCCUAAGGCGAGGCCGAAAGGCGUAGUCGAUGGGAAACAGGUUAAUAUUCCUGUACUUGGUGUUACUGCGAAGGGGGGACGGAGAAGGCUAUGUUGGCCGGGCGACGGUUGUCCCGGUUUAAGCGUGUAGGCUGGUUUUCCAGGCAAAUCCGGAAAAUCAAGGCUGAGGCGUGAUGACGAGGCACUACGGUGCUGAAGCAACAAAUGCCCUGCUUCCAGGAAAAGCCUCUAAGCAUCAGGUAACAUCAAAUCGUACCCCAAACCGACACAGGUGGUCAGGUAGAGAAUACCAAGGCGCUUGAGAGAACUCGGGUGAAGGAACUAGGCAAAAUGGUGCCGUAACUUCGGGAGAAGGCACGC